GGGCAAGUGGUGAAAUUGGUAUACACGCAGGCUUCAGGAGCCUGUGGCCGCAAGGCCGUGGAGGUUCAAGUCCUCUCUUGCCCA
rnacentral:tRNA from 1 species